AAUGAACGUUGGCGGCAUGGAUUAGGCAUGCAAGUCGAGCGAGAAGUGUAGCAAUACACGGAAAGCGGCGGAAGGGAGAGUAAUACGUGGGAAUCUGCCCUUAGACCUGGGAUAGCAGCGGGAAACUGCUGGUAAUACCAGAUAAUGUCUAUGGACCAAAGGUGUGAUUCCGUCUAGGGAUGAGCCCACGUCCUAUUAGCUAGUUGGUAGGGUAAUGGCCUACCAAGGCGAUGAUGGGUAGCGGGUGGGAGAGCAUGACCCGCCUCACUGGGACUGAGACACGGCCCAGGCACCUGCGGGUGGCUGCAGUCGAGAAUCUUCGGCAAUGGGCGCAAGCCUGGCCGAGCGAUGCCGCGUGCGGGAUGAAGGCCUUCGGGUUGUAAACCGCUGUCGAGGGGGAGCAACUUCCAUAGAGUUAUCUUUAUGGAUUGAGUGAUCCCUGGAGGAAGGACGGGCUAAGUUCGUGCCAGCCGCCGCCGUAA
rnacentral:rRNA from 1 species